GCGCCCGUAGCUCAAUCGGAUAGAGCAGCAGCCUUCUAAGCUGUUGGUUGUGGGUUCAAGUCCCGCCGGGCGCG
rnacentral:tRNA from 1 species